UACGGGGGGGGGCAAGCGUUGUUCGGAAUUACUGGGCGUAAAGGGCGCGUAGGCGGCCUGCUAAGUCGGACGUGAAAUCCCUCGGCUCAACCGGGGAACUGCGUCCGAUACUGGUGGGCUCGAAUCCGGGAGAGGGAUGUGGAAUUCCAGGUGUAGCGGUGAAAUGCGUAGAUAUCUGGAGGAACACCGGGUGGCGAAGGCGGCAUCCUGGACCGGUAUUGACGCUGAUGCGCGAAAGCCAGGGGAGCAAACGGG
rnacentral:rRNA from 1 species